rnacentral:rRNA from 1 species
GAUGAACGCUAGCUACAGGCUUAACACAUGCAAGUCGAGGGGCAGCACAGUGUAGCAAUACACGGGUGGCGACCGGCGCACGGGUGCGUAACGCGUAUCCAACCUUCCCGUUACUCUUGGAUAGCCCUCCGAAAGGGAGAUUAAUACAAGAUGGUAUUCAAAUUCCGCAUGUUAUUUGAAUUAAAGAUUUAUCGGUAACGGAUGGGGAUGCGUGACAUUAGAUAGUAGGCGGGGUAACGGCCCACCUAGUCUACGAUGUCUAGGGGUUCUGAGAGGAAGGUCCCCCACACUGGAACUGAGACACGGUCCAGACUCCUACGGGAGGCAGCAGUGAGGAAUAUUGGUCAAUGGUCGGAAGACUGAACCAGCCAAGUAGCGUGAAGGAUGAAGGUUCUAUGGAUUGUAAACUUCUUUUAUACGGGAAUAAAACACCUUACGUGUAGGGUCUUGUAUGUACCGUAUGAAUAAGCAUCGGCUAACUCCGUG